ensembl:lncRNA
AUGAGUCUCAGGCCUGUGUCCUCCCUGGGGGGAAAGACCCUGCUUCCCUUUCUAGACCCCCUGAGCUGGGAAGGUGCUGUCUGGACCCCAGAGGUGGGUCAGCCCGUAUGUGGAGCCAUCUUCCCACUUUUCCCCAUCAUGUUUCCUGGGGGUCCCAGUGCCUGGGGAGGAGCCCCCAGCUGGGUGGCAUGCCCUUUCCACCGGCCCCCGGCCCUAGUUCCAUUCCAGGCACCCGUGUCGGUGGGGAGGGGGACAGCCCUGCAACGUCCUUGGCUUGUUUCUCAGCUCCUUCCUCGUUCUCCACGUUGCCCUCAAUGGGGCGUGGCCUCCUCCCCGGUGGUCAGCCUGGCAGGCAACUGGGACUGGAGCUCCCCACUGAGGGGUCCCACCUCGGCCACCCCUCUCCCAGAGCAGCCUGGGGGGUGGGCCUCUUUGCAGGGCUCCGGGGUGGGUGGGGUGGGGUGGGCACCCAGGGAAUUUGCUGGAAAGGCUCCUCCUUAAACCCUUGCAUCCGGAAGCUCUGAGCUGAUGGGAAGACCCAGGACACCAGAAGUAGCUUUUUAAAGAACAUUCCUCAGGGCAACGUGCGUGUGUGUGUGUGCGCGUGCGUGCGUGCGUGUGUGUGUGUGAAAGCUCUGCCUCCCAUCAGCUAUAAUUGUCCCGUGGUCCCAUCUGACCCGCUCCUCUGAAGGCCUGUCUGUACACCCCGGGAGCUUGUGUCCAGUUUGGAGGGGGACCCUCCUUGCUGAGCCGAGUCUGGAAGACGUUUCUGAGGGCUGCGGUGGCCUCUGCCUUUGUAAACCAGGUGCUGGGAGCUCCAGCCUCUGCACCAGGGACUCGGCCCGCCCCUUGGGCUCCUGUGCCCCUGUGCUGGGGCGGCAGGGGUCUUAGACACAAGGAACAGUAGGCUGGGAACGAGGGACACAGAUCUUAAAGUGAGUGUCCUGCUGGCUAGGAGGACCCAAAGAGAUUUCUCCUGGGGAGGAUCCCUGGACCCUUUUCCUUGCGAGUGCAUGGUGUGUCUAUGUAGGGGUGGUGGUGUGUGUGUGUAAAGGUGUCAUGCUUCACCCCAGUCUAGCCUGCAGUCCCUUUUCUUGUCUCUGUAGCCCCCUUUUCUGUCUUCCUUUAAGAAGGUGUGUGUGGGGGCAGAUGGUACCUGAAUUAGAAGAAAGAAGAAAGUCCAAGCGUCCUUCUUCCAGUCCCGACGGCCUGCCCCACGCUCCGUCAUUCCAGGGAUGCUGGGCCGGCGCCCCCCCCCUCCCCCGCCCCGUUCCCGAGUCCAUCUCUCUGAGUCUGUGCUCGGGGAUGGGGGUGGGUAAGUGAAUUCAAGUAAAGGAGUGACUGGGUUCAGUGGGUAGGAGUUGGGAGCAUCCCCCCAGCCCCAGGGACCUCCUCUUCCUUGUGUUCACAACAGAAAGGUCAGUUAGGAGCAAGGAGCUGGGUAGGCAGUCUCACCCUUGAGCUGGUUUCGUUUUCCUAAAUAAACCAGAUGCUUGGUGGGGACACUGGGCGGGGGAGGAGCCAGGCUGCAGGGGGCGGGGGGAGGGGCGCCUGCCCCCCGGGAUGCCCGUCCUGGCACCAGCCAGCACUGGGUCCAGAGCUGCAGCACAUGCGGAAAGGAGCAGCCGGCUGGACUUCCAGAAGCUUCCUGGUCCCGGUCACGCCCACCUGACGGCCCUCCAGUCCUUGCCUUCCCUCCCUCCUUCCCUCCAUCGGCCUAAACUCACCGGUGUCCACCGUAGCUGCCCCCACCCCGCCCCCCGCUCAGCCUCUUGAAGCCACAACGAACCCCACAAUCUCAAAGCCACACACGUCCCCUCGCGGUUUUUCUCCAUGGUUCUCCACACUGGCUUUGCUGGCCCUGGAAUCUCUGGAAAAAUAAACUCAGGAGGUGAAAAGUUGACUUGGUUUCUUGGUGUUUUUGUUUUUUGGCAGGCGGUGCGGGGAGGGGUGCAGAGGAGCUGGGUGCCGUGUUUUCUUUUUCCUCUUCGGCCGAGGAGGACGAGGACG